GUCCUUGUAGUGUAGUGGUUAUCACAUCUGUCUUACACACAGAAGGUCCCUGGUUCGACCCCAGGCAAGGACA
rnacentral:tRNA from 1 species